GCAAUUUCAGGUAGCUUUUCUGACUCUUAAAGAGAUCUCAAGUAUACCUUCAGAGAAAUGCCAGCAAAAACUGUAGUCAUUUGGGAAGGAAUAAGCCUGGAAGAAAAAGAUACAACGAACUAGCACAACGAGGAGUUUGAAAAGUUCAUGACAGCUCACAGCUGAUGAUGGUGGCAAUCUUAAGGAUACAGAAAGCUCAUUCCUCAUGCAGGGAAGAAGAAAAUAUUCUAAAGAAGAGAUAAGCAUAUUCCAUGAAAUCAAAAAAGCGUAAAACGCUGGAGGAGAAGUCAGUAGCAAGCAGCUAAGACAACAUGGUACAUGUGAGAUAGCUUUCCUCUGACUGGUACCUCAAACCACCACCCAUCCAAGCCAGUCAUCUGGACCAUUUCUCCUGCUUGCAUGGGCUCACUGUUCUGUAUGGAUUCUUCCACCAUAGAAUUUACCACAUGGGCUAGAAGCCCACCAACUGCUAACAACCAGCUGGAGGGUAAGUCAAAAGCUAUGAGAGCCCAGAAGGAGAACAAUUAUUUAGACCUGGAGGGGCCAGUUGGGAAAGUCUUUGAAGGGUCUUCAGAAAAUGGACCAAAAGAAAAGAGGAAAAGUCAUUCUACUGAGAGGUGUUUGUGUAAUCAAAGCAACCGAGGCCUAAGAACUCACAAAAGAUUAGAAAAGGGUAAAGGAUGCCUGGAAAGCCGGACUAGGAAAAGGCUGUGAAGGGCCCUGAAGGUCACAUGUCACAUGUUGCCUGCAGCAUGCAGAAUCAAAACAUGAUAAAUCAUGUCUUGAAUCAUGACAUAUGAAGCAUGACACACGAAUCAUGACAUGUGACAUGUUGAAUGUCACAUGUCACAUGCCGUAGGCAGCCAUCAAGAGUAUUUGAAAGGAAAGUGUAUAAUCAGGCCUGUGCUUUAGUAAGACAAUUUGUAUAGUGUUCAGUGUGGAUUAAAAUGGAGAACACAGGUAUCAGUUUGACAUCGACAGUACAGGAAACCAUUUGGGUUUCUUGUACACCAAAAUAUUAAAACAUACACGCAAACACACCAACACAUUAAAAUCUUGAGAGAGAGGGCCAAAAGUUCUUUGUCGCUGGACUAAAAGUGGAAAUAAAUGUUUACAACCUCUAAGGUGGAUUAAGCUAAGAAUUUGGAGUUGUUGGCAAAACUGCCACAUAAAAUUUCAGACAUGCAAAGAAAUGCAAUCGUAGACUUAUGCACAUACUUCCACCAGAGAAGGGAAUCUGGGCAGAGUGUUCAAAGCUUAAGAAAUUCCUUUGCUCUUCACCAAGAAGAGCCAACAGAGUUUUCGUUGAAUCAACUCUUAUAUUCCCUUAAAAAGAAGUUGAUAGUGUUGUGGAAAACUCACCCAUUGAAGUGACAACAAAAACAGCAACCCAGUAUGAGUUAACUGGUAUUAUGUUAAAGGGACAAGUAACUGCACUUUUGACACACAUCCUCUAAAAGGUAGGGUGGGAGUGUUUCAAAGAACCAAGUCUGAGUAAUAGAAAAGCAUAUACCACUUCCCCAUAUACACGUUCGAGCAUGGGGGAGCAGGAAGCUGGGUAAUUGAAUGCAGUUGUGCACACUGGCAAUUUUCCCGCCACAUACCAUUUCUUCGGUGUCUCUCCCAAAAUUCUCCUCCUAAGUGGCACAUCCCUUUAUUGAUCAUCUUUCCCCAUACUGAUCAUCCUCAGCAAUCAUGUGAGUUAUUAGUCUAAGUAUUUGUUUUUCUCAAAUAUGGUCUUUUAACUACUCCCUAAAUAUUUUAUAUAUACAUAGUUUGUUUUCCCAAUUUAACUACAAGCAUUUAAAAAAUGGGAAUAUUUGUCUAUAUUUCUGUAAUUUUUCAUCAUGCCUUAUAUGGUAUAUAAAGAUCAACAGCAAUAAAACAACAACAGUAAUAAUAGCUAAGACCUUUUGAAUACUAACUGUAUGUUCAGCAUUAUUUCAACAGCUUUACAGGUAUUAACUGAUUUAAUUAUUACAACAACGGCAUGAAGUAGAUACUACUGUUGUCAUCAGUUUAUACUUGAGGAAACUGAGUUAUGGGAUGGUUAAUUAUCUUUUCCAUGGUCACAGAGCCAUUAAAUGUAUGAUCUCAGACAGUCUGACACCUGAGCUGUGCUUCAAUGUACCUGUUAAGAUAUUCUUUUUCUUGAAUUCAAAUUCUGAAAGGAAAACAGAGUUGAAAAAUCAGAGGCCCUAGCUAAUCAAGUAAAGUUUUGCUUUAAAAACAGCAAAAAACAAUCUUCCUAAGGUCUCUGCAACAUUUUGUGGCCCAUCACAGAACAGGGUCAUCUUUGACUUCUACACCAAGGAAAAUGUGGCUUUUGGAUUCUUGGACAGAAUCUACUGCAUGGCCUCUAUCUUCAUAUGCCCUUGCUGGGAUCCGAAGAUAAUAUGAAUAAAGUAGAUAUAGUGGAAGUGAGUAGAAGAAACAUCCUGAACAAAAAACACUUGUUCCACUUGGCCAGCUACCUAUAUUCUCAUCAAGGGAGAGUUGGCCACAGGUAAUACCACAUCAAAGUGCAAACUCUGGAUCAACUUGCACUUUUACUUAUUCCUACCUUUGACACACACAUAGCAUAACAUGUAUAAUUCUUAUUCUGGGCAUAGUUGGUGGUAGGAAGGUUUUUAUACAUUUGAGAUUCUAUUUGGUGAGCAUAUGGUAACAACACAAGAAAUGUGCCAUCAGACUACUGUUCAUCAGCUUACGAAGAUGGCUACAACAAUUCUUAUGAUUCUUGUGCACAUGUUUCUUUGCCAUGCAACUUUGUCACCCCUUCCCAUCAAGACAUAGAGUCCAUUUCUUUUUCCCUUUAAUUUGGCCCUGUGACUUGCCUAAAACCAACAGAAGGCUGCAGAAGGGACAUCAUAUGACUUCAGGGUCUCAGCACCAAAAGGCCUUUCAGCUUCUGCUUUCAGGCUGUCAUUGCUGUGAGAUAGGAAGCCUGGGCCAGCCUCCAUGAGAAUGAGAGACCACACCUGGUCAACAAGGAGAGCCAACCUUCAGCCAUGUGAGUGAGACCAUCCAGCCUCAGUUAAGCUGCCAGAUGACUGAAGCCAGAUAAGUGGCCCCAGGCAAGACCAGCAAAACAGCCAACUGGCUGAGCCCAGCCCAAAUUGCUAAGGCAUAGCAAUUUAGGACAAGAUAAAUUCUUGUGUUUUAAAUCAGGAUUUGUUAUGGAGAAAUGGAUAACUGAUAAAGCUCCAAAUCCUAACUGAGACAAGAAAUUCAACACCUUUUAUAUUACCAUGAUACAAACAUUAUUUUCUUAAUAGUCAUCAUUAAAGCUUUGUAUGUUUAACUGCCCUUCCACUACUACAACAGCUACUGUGCUGGUGCAUUCACAUUCAUGCAUACACAUAAAGACACAUUCUCCAGUUUCCCAACUAGUUACUCAUAUACUCUUUUGGGCUUUCAUUUCUCAAUAUUGCUAUAUUUCCAGCUCAGUCCGUUUAACUAGCUUCAUUCCCAUAUAUCCAGCUCUUCCUGUCUAUGAAGAGUAGCUUACCAUUACUUACUAUGUGCCAGGAACUGUUUCUCACUAUCACUUUAUCAGGCAGAUAGUUCUCUAUCAAUAACUACUGAACAGAUGACUUCAUCUAGUCAACCAUGACAUUAGAAUCAAUCGCAAGAUAGAGAUAGGAAUCAAAGAGAAGAGAUAAAUAUGUUACCCUUAUUACUUAUUUUUAAAAUAUUUAUAUUGGAAAAUACGAUUGCGACACCUACUAACCCACACAAACACAAGAACAUUUGGGCAACCACAGGCCUCCUCCAAUGCAGAUUGGUGUGUGAAAAACUUACAGCAUGGAGGAUUAAAAAAUGUAUAUUCUCUGAAGGCAGAUAUGCCCUUCCAGAUACAAGAAAAUGAAUGAACCAUUAAUGCUGAGUUCUUUCUCCCAAGCUGACCAAUCAGUUGUGACGAUUCCUCUCCCCUAGGAAUAGUCACUCUUGAGAAGUCACAAUUGUAACAUCGAUGGAGGUUUCCUAUAGAAACAUAAAGACUGGGGAUUAUGUGUUUCCCCUAUAACAAAUUUUGUCCUUAUCUUGUGACUUUCCAUUAUGUUUCCAGCCUCAACAUCUUCCCUAAGCCUCAGAAUUAUAUGUACACCUGUCUAUUCAGUCUCUGCUUGGAAGCCUAAUGGGUAUUUCGAACUCAAUAUGUCGAAGAGGAUACUCCUCAUUUUUUUUUUUAACUAUCUCUUCACUCCUCUUUAGUUUGCUAGGGUUGCCAUAACAAAAUAAGGCUGGGAAACUUAAACAGCAGAAUUUUAUCCUCUCACAGUUCUAGAGGCUGGAAGUCCAAGAUCAAGGAGCCAGCAGUGGUUUCUCCUGGUAUCUCUCUCCUUGGAUAACUUCUCACUAUGUCCUCACAUGGCCUUUUCUUUGCACACACAUAUCUCUGGUGUCUCUUCCUUCUUAUAAGGAAUCAACCAUAUUGAAUUAGAGACCCACUCUUAUGAUCUCAUUUAACCUUAAUUACCUCCUUAAAGGCCCUAUCUCCAAAUAUAGUCACAUUAGAGGUUAGGGCUUCAGUACAGGAAUUUUAGGGGUAGGGCACAAUUCAGUUCCUAACAACCCCUCUCACAAUCUUUCCUAUUUUAGGAAAUGGCACCACCACUGAUUAAUUGCUUAGGCUAAAUUUUAGGAAUCAUCUAAGAUUCCUCUUCCCCUCAUACCCCACAUCCAAUCCAUUAGGAAGUUAUGUGUGUUUUACCAAUUUCAUAUCCCACCACCUCCACUAUGGACUCCAGGUUUUGCCAUCUUGUUCUGCCUGCUCUACUGUAAUAGUCUCCUAAAUGGUUAUACUGGUUCCUUUCCUGCCCUGCUACAGUCCAUUUCUCACACAUCCACCAGAGUCAAUCAGAUACCAUUGAAAGUAAAUCAGAUACCAUUGCUUCCCUAAUUUGCAAUCUCUAGUGACUUCUCAUUAUGCUUAGAAUAAAACUCAACUCCAUUUUACAACCCACAUUCAUCUACCCUUGCCCACCUCACCAUCCUUACUACAUAUCACUCUUCCCCAUCAUUCACUCAACUCCAGUCACUUUGGCUGCCUUGACUUUCUUCAAGCAUCCAAAGCUCACUUUGGUGUCACAACCAUUGCAUGUGUUCGUCCUUGUCCAUCCACCUGGAACUCUCUGGAUGUGUCUCCCCCCUUUUCAUUUCACUGAUAUCUCUGCUCAAAUGUAACUUUCUUAAUAGAGCUUUCCUAACUCUAUUUUAAACACACCUCAUGACUUUCAACUCCUUUACCUUCCUUUAUUUACUUUCAAAAUAUUUACAACUGCUUGAAAUUACAUUGCAUUUUUAUUUGUUUAUUGUCUAGUCUUCUCCACUAGGUUGUAAACUUCCUGAGACUUUUUGUUUCUUGCUGUACCUGUAGCACUGAGAAGGGUCCUUGAAACAAAACAGACCCUCAACACAUAUGCAUUGAAUGAAAAUAAUUUAUGCAAUCUAAAUCAUUCUGAUUUGGAAAUUUGAUCAUGCCACUUCCCAUCUUAAGCUCUCCAAUGGCUUCUCAUUCCUCUGUGGAUAGACUUGAAGCAUCCAAUAUGGUGUACGAGACCUUCCUAAUUUUCAGUUUUACCUCUAGCAACUCCCACCAUGCAGCUUGAGCUCCAGUCCUCCCUAACCUUUAUGAAGACUAGAACUGUGCUGCUUCAUCUUGUAAUCCCUGGAGUCUAGCACAAUACCUGACACAAAAUGGUUACAAAGCAGCUGGCAUUAAGUGGCAGGAAUUAUGCUAUAAAACAGAGAGUGUAUAGAGUCUUGAUUUUACAUUUCACUAGCUGGUUACUUUAUUGACAAAAUGGUGAUAAUAAAAUCAGCCCUAGCUAUUUCUCACAGGUGAUUUAAAAAUCAAAUUUAUAUAAAAAUAUUUAGAGAGCACCUACUAUGUGCUGGGCACUGUCCUAUGUGUUGAGGGUACAUUAAUGAGUGAAAUAGACAAUGAUUUCUGCCUUCAUGGAAUUUAUGUUCUAGUAGGUAAAAGACUACACACACACACACACACACACACACACACACACACAGGUAAUAAGUGCAAUAGAACUAAUUCAGGGAAGGAGAAUGAGGAGGGCCUGGUGCAGUGCUUAUGCACAUUUUGUACUUGGUGGUCAGGAAAGGCCUCAUAGAGAUGAUGACAUUUGAACAGAGACCCAAAGGGGUUGAGGGAAUAAACCAUGUAGACAUUUGGGGAAAGAAUAUUCCAGUCAGAGGGAACAAUAAAUGCAAAAACCCUGAGGCAAGAACAUGUCUAUAGUGUUCAAGACCAUAUAUUCUGGGCCAUAAAAUAAAUCUCAAUAAAUUUAAAAGAAUUCACACAAUAUAAAGUGUGCCCUCAGAUCACAACAGAAUUAAAUGAAGCUCAAUUUAAUAAAUAAAAAUAAAUAACAGAAAGCAUCUCUGGAUAAUCCUCAAAUAUUUGGAAACUAAAUAACACACCUCUGAAUACCUCAUGAAUCACAGAAUAAAUCAAAAGAGAAUGAAUGGAAUGAAAUUGAAAACAGAAAUUAUUGAAAUUUGUAAGAUACAUCUAAAUUUAUGAAACUCAAACACCCAUAUCAGAAAAGAAGAAAGGUUUGAAAUUAACAACCUCAGCUUCUGCUUUAAGAAAUUAGAAAAAGAAGAGAAAAUAAAACCCGACCUAAGGAGUAGAAGGAAAAUGAUAAAGAUCAGAGUGGGAAACAAUGAAAUAGAAAAUAGAAAAUGAUAGAGAAAAUUAAUAAAAUUAAAAACUUGUCCUUGAGAAAAUCAAAACUGAUAAACCUUUCAUAAAACAGAUCAGAAAAAGAGAAAGAGAAAACACAAGCUACCCAUAUUAGGAAUGUGAGAAGUGACAGUCCGGAUUUGACCAAUAAUAAAAGGAAAAUAAAGAAAUAUUAUGAACAACUUUAUGCCAAUAAACUUGACAACUUUGAUGAAAA
rnacentral:lncRNA from 1 species